AAAUUGAAGAGUUUGAUCAUGGCUCAGAUUGAACGCUGGCGGCAGGCCUAACACAUGCAAGUCGAGCGGAAACGAGUUAUCUGAACCUUCGGGGAACGAUAGCGGCGUCGAGCGGCGGACGGGUGAGUAAUGCCUAGGAAAUUGCCCUGAUGUGGGGGAUAACCAUUGGAAACGAUGGCUAAUACCGCAUGAUGCCUACGGGCCAAAGAGGGGGACCUUCGGGCCUCUCGCGUCAGGAUAUGCCUAGGUGGGAUUAGCUAGUUGGUGAGGUAAGGGCUCACCAAGGCGACGAUCCCUAGCUGGUCUGAGAGGAUGAUCAGCCACACUGGAACUGAGACACGGUCCAGACUCCUACGGGAGGCAGCAGUGGGGAAUAUUGCACAAUGGGCGCAAGCCUGAUGCAGCCAUGCCGCGUGUGUGAAGAAGGCCUUCGGGUUGUAAAGCACUUUCAGUCGUGAGGAAGGCGGUGUAGUUAAUAGCUGCAUUUUGACGUUAGCGACAGAAGAAGCACCGGCUAACUCCGUGCCAGCAGCCGCGGUAAUACGGAGGGUGCGAGCGUUAAUCGGAAUUACUGGGCGUAAAGCGCAUGCAGGUGGUUUGUUAAGUCAGAUGUGAAAGCCCGGGGCUCAACCUCGGAAUUGCAUUUGAAACUGGCAGACUAGAGUACUGUAGAGGGGGGUAGAAUUUCAGGUGUAGCGGUGAAAUGCGUAGAGAUCUGAAGGAAUACCGGUGGCGAAGGCGGCCCCCUGGACAGAUACUGACACUCAGAUGCGAAAGCGUGGGGAGCAAACAGGAUUAGAUACCCUGGUAGUCCACGCCGUAAACGAUGUCUACUUGGAGGUUGUGGCCUUGAGCCGUGGCUUUCGGAGCUAACGCGUUAAGUAGACCGCCUGGGGAGUACGGUCGCAAGAUUAAAACUCAAAUGAAUUGACGGGGGCCCGCACAAGCGGUGGAGCAUGUGGUUUAAUUCGAUGCAACGCGAAGAACCUUACCUACUCUUGACAUCCAGAGAACUUUCCAGAGAUGGAUUGGUGCCUUCGGGAACUCUGAGACAGGUGCUGCAUGGCUGUCGUCAGCUCGUGUUGUGAAAUGUUGGG
rnacentral:rRNA from 1 species